rnacentral:rRNA from 1 species
UACAGAGGGUGCGAGCGUUGUUCGGAAUUACUGGGCGUAAAGCGCGCGCAGGCGGCCUUUUAAGUCUGACGGUGAAAUGCCGGGGCUCAACCCCGUGCCCGCCGGAGAUACUGGGAGGCUGGAGACGAGUAGAGGCAAGCGGAAUUCCGGGUGUAGCGGUGGAAUGCGUAGAGAUCCGGAAGAACACCGGAGGCGAAGGCAGCUUGCUGGGCUCGGUCUGACGCUGAGGCGCGAAAGCGUGGGGAGCGAACAGG